rfam:Barnesiella viscericola DSM 18177, complete genome.
GGGGCUGACCGGUUUUGACAGCGGGUAGAAGUGGUGGGUAAGCAUGCAGAGCGUUUGUUGCCCCGCUCUAUAAUCUCAGACAGCAAAAAUUUAACUGGCGAAAAUAACUACGCUCUUGCUGCUUAAUCGAAGUACAGUAGAUUAGCUUAAUCUCUGCAACAGUUGCGGAGACAAGACAUCACCCGGUUGCUGUGGUUCCGAAGCGUUCCGAAACGGUGGUGCAAUAAUAUCGGAAAUAGUCGAAGGCAGGUUUCGGGCCGACGAUGAAAUUUUAGAAACUAAGGUACAGAUUGGUGGCUUCGGUCUUGUCUGUGCCCGACAACCAAAACGAAGAUAAGCAUGUAGAAAGCUCAUUAGUUCCUCGUUUGGACGAGGGUUCGAAUCCCUCCAGCUCCACGG